CAGGAGUUAGUGCCAUGUCAG
rnacentral:misc_RNA from 1 species